GAGACGUUUCGCUUCAUUCUGUCACCAGAUUUGAAUGAAGGUGCUAGUUGAAGAAUGGCGAAGGAUUUCUGGGUAUUUUGUCUGUUCGCAUAUUUUGUGAGAGCGGAUACGGACUAUGAAUUAUACAACAACGAUGAGUGGAUACCAAUAACAAAUGUACAAGCUUACAAUACACGAAGGUCUGAUGUUGAGGGGGGAUAUAUAAAAGAAAAUAAUGAAUUCCACAAUCUAAAUGAUUUUAUACAAGUAGUAACACCUGAAGUACGAAAUGGCAAAGAUUUUCACCUCUAGAAAUAAACCGACUAAAUAUAGUAAAACUAGUGAUGAAUUUAAAGUAAUAAAGCAAACUCGUUCGUCAAUAGAUCCCAGAGACCGCGGAUCGACCGUUUGUUCUGAGAGAAACACUAAUGUUACUCGAAAAUACGUCCAUUAGUGCAAAGUGCUGCAAGUAGAUUUGACAGAAGUUUGAGAAUGUUGUAUAACAACUACUGAUAACAAGGCCGUUGUUACUGAGAAAACUCUAAAUACACAUGAACAAAAUGGCAAUACAAAUGUAAACCUUGAAGAAAAUAAAACAUUAGAAAGAAAAAACUACGAAGUGACUGAAGAAGCUGAAUCAGACAUAAACCACGGCUAUGUCUACGAAAUGCCUAAACCUAAUACGUCAAAUAAACUAAAUCUAACCGAUAAAUUAUUCAAUAUCCUAGCUAAAUACAAUAUACGAGCUGAUGAUGAUUUGCCAAACUAUGAUUUAUCACUUAAAGAUAAGGUUCGGAAUCCUUCAACUUCGGAAAUGGUUAGACCUUUUGAUUUUAAAGCCCGGGGAUAUAAUAGUCCGGAUCAUUUGCCAGUUGAUCCGUUGCUGGCCGUUUUCCUGUCCCAUUAUGGGCAUU